rnacentral:rRNA from 1 species
UGCUGAUGUCUUGACCGUACAGAGGCUACUUGACGCCAUGGGUGGAUUGUGGACUCCUGCAAGGAAAGGACUGCUGGACAAGGAGUGCCUUCGUGGGUUCACCUUCAUGCAAUGAACAACUGACUCAGAACUGACUCGGGCAGGGGGAAUCCGACUGUUUAAUUGAAACAAAGCAUUGCGAUGGCCCUAGAGGGUGGUGACACAAUGUGAUUUCUGCCCAGUGCUCUGAAUGUCAAAGUGAGGAAAUUCAACUAAGCGCGGGUAAACGGCGGGAGUAACUAUGACUCUCUUAAGGUAGCCAAAUGCCUCGUCAUCCAAUUAGUGACGCGCAUGAAUGGAUUAAUGAGAUUCCUACUGUCCCUAUCUGCUGUCCAGCGAACCCACAGCCAAAGGAACGGGCUUGGGUGGAUCUGCGGGGAAAGAAGACCUGUGGAGCUUGACUCUAAUCUGACUGUGUAAAAUGACUUAAGGGGUGUAGGAUAUGUGGGAGCUAUGGUGUCUUGAAAUACCACUACCCCUAAAUGUUGCCUUACCUAAAUCUAUUAAUGCUGUACCCUGCAAAAGUGCAUGAAUUUCCGUGUUAAUAGGUGUCACAUCCGUUCCACCUGAUCUGCGUAAGAAACUCAGUCAGGUGGGGGAGUUUGGCUGGGGCGCGCACAAUCUGUUAAAAAAGAA